AUAACUGACAAGUUUUAUCUGCAAAAGCUACAUUUGGUUCAAUUUGGAUGAAGUUUUUACUUGUGGACCAAUCCCCUUAGACAUUCUUCCUUGACUAACUCAUUUUUCUUUUAGCAUGUUUCUAAAGAUGUUAAGCAUAAACCAUGUUAUUUCUUUCCUAUGAUAAAACUUAAAAAACUGCCACUAUCAGUUCAUCAACAU
rnacentral:lncRNA from 1 species